rnacentral:rRNA from 1 species
GAUGAACGCUGGCGGCGUGCCUAAUACAUGCAAGUCGAGCGAACAGACGAGGAGCUUGCUCCUCUGACGUUAGCGGCGGACGGGUGAGUAACACGUGGAUAACCUACCUAUAAGACUGGGAUAACUUCGGGAAACCGGAGCUAAUACCGGAUAAUAUAUUGAACCGCAUGGUUCAAUAGUGAAAGACGGUUUUGCUGUCACUUAUAGAUGGAUCCGCGCCGCAUUAGCUAGUUGGUAAGGUAACGGCUUACCAAGGCGACGAUGCGUAGCCGACCUGAGAGGGUGGUCCGCCAGACGGGAUGUGAGACACGGUCCAGACUCCUACGGGAGGCAGCAGUAGGGAAUCUUCCGCAAUGGGGGAAAGCCUGACGUAGCAACGCCGCGUGAGGGAUGAAGGUCUUCGGAUCGUAAAACGCUGUUAUUAGGGAAGAACUAAUGUGUAAGUAACUAUGCACGUCUUGACGGUACCGGAUCAGAAAGCCACGGCUAACUACGUG